CGACGUUGUCUGGAUUGAGUGUACAUUUUUCAGAAGUGUGCUCUUCCGGAAAAUUAAGAGAGAAAAAGGAUUCAUUUUGUGACGAAGUUCUCCUUUUAAAGUCUCGAGAUAGACUGUUUUUACGAUAAUGUUGGUUGACGCAGCAACCUUAUUCUUUUGAAAGACAUAAGAGGUUUAUAAACGUCUUUUAUCCAUGAUGACUACUAGAUCAUU